rnacentral:rRNA from 1 species
UUGCAUAUCCCAAUAGCGGAGGAAAAGAAACCAACAGGGAUUGCUCUAGUAACGGCGAGUGAACAAGCAAAAGCUCAGUUUUGAAAGCCUACUUUGUAGGCAUUGUAUUCUGAAGCCUAGAUUCUGGGAAACGGUGUUUAAGUCUUCUGGAAAGGAGCGCCACGGAGGGUGAUAGCCCCGUACGGCACUGACCCCAUUGUAGUUUCUAGGCGUGGAGUCGAGUUGUUUGGGAAUGCAGCUCAAAUGGGAGGUAUGCUCCUUCUAAAGCUAAAUAUUUGCGAGAGACCGAUAGCGAACAAGUACUGUGAAGGAAAGAUGAAAAGAACUUUGAAAAGAGAGUGAAAUAGGACGUGAAAUUGUUGAAAUGGAAGGGUAGGCUGCUAACCAUGUAGGACCGUGUCUGAGGGGAAGAUAAAAGCUACGGAAUGUGACUCUUCGGAGUGUUAUAGCCGUGGUCAAUGUUCCCACUUAGGCGCGAGGAUCUCAGGUUCUACAAAUU